UCUGAUUAUUGAUUAUAUAUUAUGAGUAAGGAGAGCAUUCUAAACAUUCUGGAAACUUUAAAAUAAGAGGGAAAUAGGGUCUUGUUCAAUGCUUUAGCUGUGUUUGCUCUAAGGGAGAUCAACUUAUCACAAGUGAGUAAUCAAGAUUAAGGGAGACUUGUAAUCAUGUUUGACAUUCCUUUCCAGUAAGAAAAAGAGUUGUAUGAUUAUUUGUUAGUUUUAUAGGAAUGUAUAACCCAUGUUAGCAAUGUUUUAUUUUUGUUUAACAUUUGAAUGAUUCUUUGUAUGACAUUACAAUUUGUGUAAUUUAUUUUAUUUUUUGA